GAUUACUGUGGGAGCACUGGGAGCACUGGUUGGUUCUCUGCAUUUGAAGAGCCUGGAGGUACUGCUGGCUGGUCCAACACCAGCACCAUUUUCAGCCAUGACACGGAACUCAUACUCGUUGCCCUCAGUGAGGAUGUACUGUUUGAUCUCAUUGCCUCCAUCUGACCUUGGCCUGGUCCAGCAGAGGGUGAUGCUGUUUCCAGUCACGUGGGUAGCAUCUGGUGUACCAGGAGCAUCAGGCACAGCUGAAGGGAAGAACAGAAACAUGGAACUGGACGGCCCCUGAUGGGGACAAACAAACGAAUUGAAGCACGGGACCUAACCACCAGGGUUCUCCUGAGUUCAGCAUCCAGCUCAAAGUCUGGCAGUGUCUCCUGGUCCACCAGCUCAGUCACUUUCUCAACCUCUGCAGGAUCACCAACUCCCUCCGAGUUUACCGCGCAAACUCUGAAGUGUAUCCUCUGAUGUCACUUCCACCAUCCUGGGCUGGUCUUUUCCAUGAAAUGGUGACAGCAUUCCUACUGAUGUUAUCAAUUUCUGGAGUUGAGGGUGGACCUGGUGGACCUGAGGAAACAAAAUAUGCAAGGAAUUCUGUUACCAGUAAUUGCGGAGCCACCAGUGUCCUUUGGAUCAGCCCAAGUCAAGAUGGCCGACUCGUGGCGGAUGCUCACAAUUUCUGGAGGAGCAGGCGCCUCAGGCACAUCUGGAGGAAGCAAGGAGGGGUGUAAGAAUAAGGAGAGACGGUAAGACAUGAAAAUACAUUCAAUAAACCAUCUUAAAUCAUAGAAGAAGAAGAUAGAAUACAAGUGCCUGACCACGAUCUACUUUUUCUUCAUGUCACCGUUCUUGCAUAUGUAACAGGACCCAUUUUAAUUUGCAUUAAAACAAUGCUUCUCAAUACAAAAACUUUGCCAUGCAUGUCCAUUACAGGUUUUAAUUUAUUUGUGUAAGGCAGCACGUUAUUAUUUUAAAAUGAAUUAUGAAAGACAAAAUUUUGUUGAGUCUGGCCUCAUAAUCAGCACCCAAACAAAAGGGGUGAGAUCAUUUAACUUCUCAUUCUAGAAAUGAAGGUCUGUAUCUUGAAACAAGAAAAGGAAAGAAUAGAAUUGAGAAAAUGAAAGAAGUUGAUUUUUUUUUAAAGUGGGUGAAACAAUUUAAGUUUUUGGCUUGAUUUAAGAAAGAUUUAAAAUGCAAGAGUUGACUAGAUGACACAAAUAUUUUUGCAGUAAUCAUUAUCAAAUCUUCUGUGAAACUGACCACUUUAGAUGUAAGACACACUAACAACAGACGGGCUAUAAGAUGUAUAUGACUGCCUCAGGCCACAAUCUGAGUGUGAUACUCACUAAAUGGAUGCUGAGCAAUG